rnacentral:lncRNA from 1 species
CGCAACUCAUCCAUGGACGCUCGUCUGCUGCUGAAUUCAUGUUUUACAGUUAAAAAGAAUGGAAAGAUAUAUACUAGUCUGAUAGAUAAUACGAGGACCUCUGGUUUUUCAAAACUGUUGGAUCAACAAGUUAUUAUAAAACGAUAAAUUGAAAUGGGUUGCUUGUCGAUUAACUUGAAGAAACCGGGAACGAAACGCACACAAACAAGAAAGUUGUGUUUCUUUUUGAUGGAUUACAUACCCGCUAUUUUGUACUUGGAAAGCGCACCGAAAGGUAAAUAUUAUCAUGCACAUAUUUAAGAAGAUGCUAGUGGUAUACUUUUCACGAAAAAA